UGCAGUCGAGCGGAAACGAGUUAACUGAACCUUCGGGGGACGUUAACGGCGUCGAGCGGCGGACGGGUGAGUAAUGCCUAGGAAAUUGCCCUGAUGUGGGGGAUAACCAUUGGAAACGAUGGCUAAUACCGCAUGAUGCCUACGGGCCAAAGAGGGGGACCUUCGGGCCUCUCGCGUCAGGAUAUGCCUAGGUGGGAUUAGCUAGUUGGUGAGGUAAGGGCUCACCAAGGCGACGAUCCCUAGCUGGUCUGAGAGGAUGAUCAGCCACACUGGAACUGAGACACGGUCCAGACUCCUACGGGAGGCAGCAGUGGGGAAUAUUGCACAAUGGGCGCAAGCCUGAUGCAGCCAUGCCGCGUGUGUGAAGAAGGCCUUCGGGUUGUAAAGCACUUUCAGUCGUGAGGAAGGUAGUGUAGUUAAUAGCUGCAUUAUUUGACGUUAGCGACAGAAGAAGCACCGGCUAACUCCGUGCCAGCAGCCGCGGUAAUACGGAGGGUGCGAGCGUUAAUCGGAAUUACUGGGCGUAAAGCGCAUGCAGGUGGUUUGUUAAGUCAGAUGUGAAAGCCCGGGGCUCAACCUCGGAAUAGCAUUUGAAACUGGCAGACUAGAGUACUGUAGAGGGGGGUAGAAUUUCAGGUGUAGCGGUGAAAUGCGUAGAGAUCUGAAGGAAUACCGGUGGCGAAGGCGGCCCCCUGGACAGAUACUGACACUCAGAUGCGAAAGCGUGGGGAGCAAACAGGAUUAGAUACUCUGGUAGUCCACGCCGUAAACGAUGUCUA
rnacentral:rRNA from 1 species